rnacentral:rRNA from 1 species
AACCUUACCUACCCUUGACAUGGUCGGAAUCCUGAAGAGAUUCGGGAGUGCUCGAAAGAGAACCGACGCACAGGUGCUGCAUGGCUGUCGUCAGCUCGUGUCGUGAGAUGUUGGGUUAAGUCCCGCAACGAGCGCAACCCUUGUCCUUAGUUGCUACGCAAGAGCACUCUAAGGAGACUGCCGGUGACAAACCGGAGGAAGGUGGGGAUGACGUCAAGUCCUCAUGGCCCUUAUGGGUAGGGCUUCACACGUCAUACAAUGGUCGGAACAGAGGGUUGCCAACCCGCGAGGGGGAGCUAAUCCCAGAAAACCGUUCGUAGUCCGGAUUGCACUCUGCAACUCGAGUGCAUGAAGCUGGAAUCGCUAGUAAUCGCGGAUC